rnacentral:rRNA from 1 species
AUGGCUCAGGACGAACGCUGGCGGCGUGCCUAAUACAUGCAAGUCGAGCGGACAGAUGGGAGCUUGCUCCCUGAUGUUAGCGGCGGACGGGUGAGUAACACGUGGGUAACCUGCCUGUAAGACUGGGAUAACUCCGGGAAACCGGGGCUAAUACCGGAUGGUUGUCUGAACCGCAUGGUUCAGACAUAAAAGGUGGCUUCGGCUACCACUUACAGAUGGACCCGCGGCGCAUUAGCUAGUUGGUGAGGUAACGGCUCACCAAGGCGACGAUGCGUAGCCGACCUGAGAGGGUGAUCGGCCACACUGGGACUGAGACACGGCCCAGACUCCUACGGGAGGCAGCAGUAGGGAAUCUUCCGCAAUGGACGAAAGUCUGACGGAGCAACGCCGCGUGAGUGAUGAAGGUUUUCGGAUCGUAAAGCUCUGUUGUUAGGGAAGAACAAGUGCCGUUCAAAUAGGGCGGCACCUUGACGGUACCUAACCAGAAAGCCACGGCUAACUACGUGCCAGCAGCCGCGGUAAUACGUAGGUGGCAAGCGUUGUCCGGAAUUAUUGGGCGUAAAGGGCUCGCAGGCGGUUUCUUAAGUCUGAUGUGAAAGCCCCCGGCUCAACCGGGGAGGGUCAUUGGAAACUGGGGAACUUGAGUGCAGAAGAGGAGAGUGGAAUUCCACGUGUAGCGGUGAAAUGCGUAGAGAUGUGGAGGAACACCAGUGGCGAAGGCGACUCUCUGGUCUGUAACUGACGCUGAGGAGCGAAAGCGUGGGGAGCGAACAGGAUUAGAUACCCUGGUAGUCCACGCCGUAAACGAUGAGUGCUAAGUGUUAGGGGGUUUCCGCCCCUUAGUGCUGCAGCUAACGCAUUAAGCACUCCGCCUGGGGAGUACGGUCGCAAGACUGAAACUCAAAGGAAUUGACGGGGGCCCGCACAAGCGGUGGAGCAUGUGGUUUAAUUCGAAGCAACGCGAAGAACCUUACCAGGUCUUGACAUCCUCUGACAAUCCUAGAGAUAGGACGUCCCCUUCGGGGGCAGAGUGACAGGUGGUGCAUGGUUGUCGUCAGCUCGUGUCGUGAGAUGUUGGGUUAAGUCCCGCAACGAGCGCAACCCUUGAUCUUAGUUGCCAGCAUUCAGUUGGGCACUCUAAGGUGACUGCCGGUGACAAACCGGAGGAAGGUGGGGAUGACGUCAAAUCAUCAUGCCCCUUAUGACCU